CUUGAUCAGUAAGCAUUUCUUUUUCAGGAGGAUGUAAUUUUGAGAUGACAAAGAAAAAGUACAGAUUUGGCAAUUUAGGCAACUAUGUGUGAAAUAGUUUGAGGACACGUCUGCAUAUAAAGACAAAGUCAUUGCAAUGUGGUCGCACGUGGCUGGGGAAAACGUUGUGUUUCUAGAUGCUCAGAGAUCCGUGUAAAUGAUACAGACAAGGUUAUGGCAAAUGUUGACAAGGGAUAGGACUUUGUAGGACAGAGCACAUGGUAAAUAGAAAAUAUAUUUGUUCAUUUUCACAAUAUUUACAUUGACUUUUGUUGGUGUAGAAAAUUUCACAAUUUGUGUAAGUUAGAUGGCUUUCCUUCUUAAAUUCCAGUUGGAAU